rnacentral:miRNA from 1 species
AUGGGAGAGAUUAGUGGGAAGGU